rnacentral:rRNA from 1 species
UACGGAGGGUGCGAGCGUUGUCCGGAAUCACUGGGCGUAAAGGGCGCGUAGGCGGCAUGCCAAGCGUGUGGUGAAAGCCCGGGGCUCAACCCCGGGUCGGCCGUGCGGACUGGCGUGCUUGAGCACUGUAGGGGCGGGUGGAAUUCCGGGUGUAGCGGUGGAAUGCGUAGAGAUCCGGAAGAACACCGGUGGCGAAGGCGGCCCGCUGGGCAGGAAGGAAGGCGCAAGCUUCCGGCUGACGCUGAGGCGCGACAGCGUGGGGAGCAAACAGG